CUACGGGGGGCUGCAGUGGGGAAUAUUGCACAAUGGGCGAAAGCCUGAUGCAGCAACGCCGCGUGAGGGAAGACGGUUUUCGGAUUGUAAACCUUUGUCUUCGGUGACGAUAAUGACGGUAGCCGAGGAGGAAGCCACGGCUAACUACGUGCCAGCAGCCGCGGUAAUACGUAGGUGGCGAGCGUUAUCCGGAAUUACUGGGUGUAAAGGGAGCGCAGGCGGGAUAGCAAGUCAGCGGUGAAAAUUAUGGGCUUAACCCAUAAACUGCCGUUGAAACUGUUAUUCUUGAGUGGAGUAGAGGCAAGCGGAAUUCCGAGUGUAGCGGUGACAUGCGUAGAUAUUCGGAGGAACACCAGUGGCGAAGGCGGCUUGCUGGGCUCUAACUGACGCUGAGGCUCGAAAGUGUGGGGAGCAAACAGGAUUAGAUACCCCUGUAGUC
rnacentral:rRNA from 1 species